rnacentral:lncRNA from 10 species
GCGAUAGCGUUUGGAGGGACAAGGUCCAGGUUUUAACUGGGAUUGGGAGGCUGAUAUAAGGGUCGCUAAAGACGAGGCCCGAUGUUGAAUGGGUUGGCCACAUAGGCUCUGAAAUUAUCAAAGAUGGUCAGACGGGAGACAGACAAGGAGCUGGAUACACAGAUCGGCAGAUUAUCUCCAAACGGGGUGAAGUAGGUGACAGAGUCUAAGGGGAAGGGCUGAAGAAGCAAGUGUUUUUACAAGAGGUGACAGCACCUGGCACAUAAUCCCGACCUCUGCAAACUGAGACCUGAGAAUACUAAUUCAUGUGAGAAAGUUUCAAGGGACGCAACAUUCUCGGGACAGCCAGGUCUCUGUCCCAGGAAGGAGCGGAGAAGUUUAGAGACAAGCUGAUCUAAACACGAGAACCUCUGAGGAAGACCGGCUUGAAGGCAGGAGAUUGAGGAGGGGACCGAAGCGACGGCAAACCCUACACUCCUCUGCUCUUUAGUUACUUUCCUCCCAGCCAACCGCC